UACGGAGGGUGCAAGCGUUAUCCGGAUUCACUGGGUUUAAAGGGUGCGUAGGCGGCCUAUUAAGUCAGGGGUGAAAGACGGUAGCUUAACUAUCGCAGUGCCCUUGAUACUGAUGGGCUUGAAUGUACUAGAGGUAGGCGGAAUGUGACAAGUAGCGGUGAAAUGCAUAGAUAUGUCACAGAACACCAAUUGCGAAGGCAGCUUACUACACAGUUAUUGACGCUGAGGCACGAAAGCGUGGGGAUCAAACAGG
rnacentral:rRNA from 1 species